GCCGCCUUAGCUCAGUCGGUCAGAGCGGUGCUCUCGUAAAGCACAGGUCGUCGGUUCGAUUCCGACAGGCGGCU
rnacentral:tRNA from 1 species